rnacentral:rRNA from 1 species
UACAGAGGCCCCAAGCGUUAGGCGGAAUCACUGGGCUUUAAAGCGCGUGUAGGCGGAUCGUUUAAGUGCUUUUGUGAAAUCCCACGGCUCAACCGUGGAACUGCUGGGCAUACUGGCGAUCUUGGGCCACUCAGGGGCAGCCGGAACAAGCGGUGGAGCGGUGAAAUGCGUAGAUAUCGCUUGGAACGCCGAAGGUGAAGACAGGCUGCUGGGGGUGUGCCGAGCUGAGACGCGAAAGCCAGGGGAGCAAACGGGG